CUGUAAUAAUAAUAAAAACUCCAUAAUGACGGGAAGAAGGAGGCGGGAACCGGCGAACACUCAAAUAAAACUUUAAUGACAAAAUAAAUACAAAACAGUGCGACAGCCCCUCACGGGCGACUGCCGCGCAUAAACAAAAACCAAACACAAAAUAAAGCCCAGGCCUGGUCCUCUCUCGUCCUUCACUGUCGUCGCUCCUCUUUUGUAUCCUCCCGAUCUCCUCCGUGGGACUCGAGACCGGUGAGUGGAGCAGGUGUCGCUCAUUUCCCAAUCACUCCACCGGCCUCGCUCCGUUCCCACGGCUCUCGGCCCCGCCCCACUCAUCACAUACCCCCAUCGCCCCUCGCAGGCCGGGGGGUACUCCCGAGACUGCGCUCUACUCCCCCACCCCCCCCUCCCCCUCCCUCCGGGGGGGAACGCUCACGGUGACCUGCGGGAACCUGGGGGUAAGGAAAGACGAGGCGAGAGAAAAGGAGAUGGAAGGAUGAGGAGCGACGGGAGACGAGAGAGGGGAGAGAGGAGAAAAAAAAAUAAAAAUUCCGGUUCCCAGACACGCUGCCGCUCGGCCCUCCACCGGCUGUGUGAAGUCCUCCGCGGUGCCUGGCGGUGGCACUGGACGGCCCUCGGUGGACGGCACGACACUCCUCCGCCGCCCGGUGGACGGCGACGGCUCCUCCGGUUUCGGGCAGCCGGCAGGAGUCCCCCGUUCCCUGCUCCUCCCCAUUCUUGGCGGAUGGCAGCAGGCUCCGGCCACCUGGCGAACGGCGCCGACUCCUCCGCUCCCUUACGGACGGCAGCCGCCCCUCCACAUCACGGGCGGCCGGCAGCGAGUUCGUCCGUCCCCGGCAACUCACUCCAGCCCACCGCCUCGAGCGUCCACGGCGCCAGACUGCUACGCCUUGCUCCAUGGCACCGCGGAUUCACCCCAGCGGCAAGGGAUCUUCGGCAGCGCGUCCCUCCUUCCUCCCGGGUUUCGGCACCACUCUAUAAUAAUAAAAACUCCAUAAUGACGGGAAGAAGGAGGCGGGAACCGGCGAACACUCAAAUAAAACUUUA
ensembl:lncRNA